rnacentral:rRNA from 1 species
UGGGGAGUAUUGCACAAUGGGGGAAACCCUGAUGCAGCGACGCCGCGUGAGUGAAGAAGUUAUUCGUAAUGUAAAGCUCUAUCAGCAGGGAAGAAAGUGACGGUACCUGAGUAAGAAGCACCGGCUAAAUACGUGCC